rnacentral:lncRNA from 1 species
AAAAAAAAGGAUCUGAUCGGUGACAGAGGGGGAUCGAGACGCUCGCGAUGCGGCCGGUGCGGGCGCUGCGAGGGGAUCCAAUCGAUGCGCGCGCGAUCGAUCUUCCUUGGGGAUCCGCCCGACGCGCGCGAGGGGAUCCCAUGGCGCACGAUGUGGGUGACGCCUCAUCUGAUGGAAACUGCUCCGCUGACACUCUAAAGAUGCAAUCACACUUCAGUUUUGGAGCGCGCAUUCAUGGCGGCUGCCGAUCCUUUCCGAUGCCGAGGAGUACAGGUACGUGUAUAUAUUCCUCCUUUCCUGUCACUCUUCGCCCACCCUUUCCACUCCAGCUGCACAACAUCUUUCAGCAAGCCGGCGACUGAUCCCCGCUGAGUGCACGGCCUUCUCAGUCGCGGGGCAUGCGGGUGAGGCAGGCCGUGACACUUGGAUUUCGUGGGAGAACCGAAGCAGCCCUAUGGCUAUUCGGUGAAGCCGACGACUGAAUCUCAUCUGCCAGGUUGAAAGAGGCGAUGAAUCAUCAGUUCUUGGAAGUGUUAACGACAACUGAUGUGCGCUGCCGUUCACCUGCAUCGUUUAGUGGAGAUAUACAUUGUUAUUUUCCUGGCCUGCAGCUGCUUGACUUCAUGCGCCUGAAUAUGUAACUUUCCGUCCUUCUCUGACUAUAGCAGCUAUGGUUCACGGUUGUAUUGCCCACUAUCUUUAUUUUUCUCUUUCCCCUACAAUUCCCUUUCCACUCAGCAAUUCUUUUCUGCUAAUGUCUUUCUAAACUCAGUUUGUACAGGGGUUUGUCAAUCCUGGAUCUGGUCAACUAUUUGAUUCAGACAGAUCAUGGAGGCUGGUUCUCAUAUUUUGCUUGGUGAAUUCUUCAAUGCACAAUUUGCCAUGGCUGCUGAUCAGGUAAUUAGUUCACUCGCAGGACUGACACACCUCAUCUCUUCAUGCAAAUAUAAUCCAACAUAGUCUAUUUCGUCAUGCGCUUCGUCCAAAUGCUAACUGAACUUCAACAUAAACCAGUUGCUUGUUUUGUUGUCUAAAGUUAUUUUAGACUUAGAACAUUUUGCUGUUUAGAGGCAGCUUUUCUGUAAAAAGUUGACGUGCUGCUAUAAUACUAAACAUGUCACAAAUUGUCAAGAGAUAGAUCUGAUUGAGUUAACAAGUUUAUCAUGAUGUGAUAUAUGCAUUGUGAUACAUUCUGCUAUACCGGUUUGAUGCUUGAUUCGUCAAUGUCAUUUCAUAUUCUGAGGAAGUCUCAUUCUUUGAGGGAGAACCUGAUUGAUGGUGAACCUAGGGACUUGGAAGUUUGCUUUGCCCAUUGGUUGAGAUUUAAUGUAUGAAUAAGACUAACUUAUUUUACAACAGCACAUGACCACUUCUCAAGAGAAGGCAAACUACCUACAUGCAACAAUUAUAAUCUCACUAGUAUGGCUGUCUCUUUUAUUUAAUUUAAAUAAUUGGCAUUACUAGCAUAUUUACCAAUUUGUAAAACAGAAUAAUCAUUUCUUUAAUUGUUCAUCUUUUUAUUAACUGUUAGUAUAUAUGUAAUGCUCACUCUGCUUUUGCAGGCCCCUUGAGUCAUUCCAGUCCUACAAUGUUCAAAAAAUAUGUGUAAACAAAUUGAUGGCUAAAGUAGACCUGAAGGUCAAGGAAGCUAUCCUUAUAUAUUUAGAAUCCCAUCUAUGCAUACAUAUGUACCGGACCAUCUACGAUAUUCAUAAUAUGUGUCCUAAGACAACAAGCUAUACCAUGAUUAUCUAAGCUUGCAUUGUGUUGCAUGUCCUUUUUUCAAAUGGAUGUUCUUACGUAUUUGCCCCUUGUUAUACAAGCUGCACACAGAAAGUAUGUAUUUAUUAUUUGAUAUGUUCACUUAGUAUGUGAAAUUCAUAUUUCAUAUACUUAUCUACUGCUAAAAGACAACUACUGCUACAAUAGCACAAUAAUUUUCCGCUCUUCCAUGUGGAUGAUGGCUAUCUAUGUAACUAAAUCUUUACUACUAGUUGUGC